AACGGUCUAUACCUGCGGUACCUGCGGAAGGAUCAUUAACAAAUCUUGAAGGUCACGGCUAACUAGAAGGCAGCUUCCCCUCGUGGGUGCUGUUCUUUAGUUAGUUGAGGCCACAUUGACUCGAGCGCUUCUCCUACGUGCGUGCCUUGUAUUAUAUACAGGGCGCGCUGUUGGUAAAGAUGCUCAGAGACACAUACACGCUUGUUUUGUUUGACUGAGUAAAUGGUGACAGAGUUGGUA
rnacentral:misc_RNA from 1 species